rnacentral:rRNA from 1 species
UACGUAGGGUGCAAGCGUUGUCCGGAAUUAUUGGGCGUAAAGAGCUCGUAGGCGGUUUGUCGCGUCGGCUGUGAAAACUCAGGGCUUAACCCUGAGCCUGCUUCCGAUACGGGCAGACUAGAGGUAUGCAGGGGAGAACGGAAUUCCUGGUGUAGCGGUGAAAUGCGCAGAUAUCAGGAGGACCACCGGUGGCGAAGGCGGUUCUCUGGGCAUUACCUGACGCUGAGGAGCGAAAGUGUGGGGAGCGAACAGG